AAAUUGAAGAGUUUGAUCAUGGCUCAGAUUGAACGCUGGCGGCAGGCCUAACACAUGCAAGUCGAACGGUAACAGGAAGCAGCUUGCUGCUUCGCUGACGAGUGGCGGACGGGUGAGUAAUGUCUGGGAAACUGCCUGAUGGAGGGGGAUAACUACUGGAAACGAUAGCUAAUACCGCAUAACGUCGCAAGACCAAAGAGGGGGACCUUC
rnacentral:rRNA from 1 species